AAGACUUCCUUGACUACAUCACACACUUUUCUUCUGAGGGCCUUCAGAUGGUCUCUGUUUGCAUCUAGGGUGAAAUUGAGGCACUGAGGAUGGGGUGGAAGUUGCUGUUAAGGUCUUCACCUCCAAUCCUACAGUGACCAGUCCUGGAAUAAGGCAAGGACCUAGGUGUCCUGAAUCACCCUUUGCUUUUUAGGAUUCAUCUUUGUCAGUGCCUUUCUGGGAGAGUGGGCCUGGCUUGGAGAUGUCACUGUGGAUCCAGGAUUUUGCCACUGGGAACUCUCCUGCUAUCAUGUGAAGCAGCAUGGACUAGCCUACAGAGGAUGAGGCCUCAUGGAGCAGACAAGCUGUCUCAGUUGAGGCCCUCAAAACCAAUCAAGCUCCAGCUGAACUGCCAGGUGACUGUAGCUGCAUGAGUGACCCCAGGCAAGAUGAGCAGAAGAGGCCCCAACUGAGCCCAACCCAAAUAGCUGACUCAUGGAAUCAUGAGCAAAUAAAAUGGUUGUUUUAAGCCACUAAGUUUUUAGAUGGUUUGUUACCCAGCAAUACAUAAUUGGUUUAUCAGAUAUCACAGCUAUUUUAUAGAUGAAGAAACUGACUCUCCAAGAAUUUGAUUGACUUGCACAUCAGGACAAGGACUGGGAUGGAAAGAGAAAGCCA
rnacentral:lncRNA from 1 species